UGUGGCUCAGUUGGCAGAGUGCUUGGCUAGCAUCCAUGAGGCCCUAGGUUCAAUCCUUAGCA
rnacentral:tRNA from 1 species